rnacentral:rRNA from 1 species
UACAGAGGGGGCAAGCGUUGUUCGGAAUUACUGGGCGUAAAGGGCGCGUAGGCGGCCUUCUAAGUCGAACGUGAAAUCCCCGGGCUCAACCCGGGAACUGCGUCCGAUACUGGAAGGCUUGAAUCCGGGAGAGGGAUGCGGAAUUCCAGGUGUAGCGGUGAAAUGCGUAGAGAUGUGGAGGAACACCGAUGGCGAAGGCAGCCCCCUGGGUCAAGAUUGGACGCUCGAUGCACGAAA